UGGUGCCCUCUUUCCUGGAGACCUGCUACCAGCGGAGGUGUCUUUGGAGGUGCUCUUUUUGCAUGGCAGCACUAGCUAAUGGGACUGUCUGCAGGAAAGGAAAGCAAAGCAGGGCCUGGGCAAAGCCAGAAGUCCUCUUGAAAGGUACUCUGGUGGCUGUUCCCUGGGAAAGUGAAGAAGAGCCAGAGGUGAAAUGCCCCUGAGGCCAGCGGGGGAGCAGGAACUGGGUUCUGCUCUGCCUUGCUCCCCUGAGGAAUGACAGAGGAAGCAGGUGUACAUCUCAUGCCUGAUAUAUGGUGUUCCAGAGGAAGUAUGAGUGUUCAUUUUUUCCAUAAAACUAAACUAAUCUUUAAAUGCAUGGCAUUCUUUAUUUAACUUCCUCCAUGUUAAAUGUUGAUUUUCCUCCUCUGAAGAGAUUUUCUUUUCUUUUUUAUUUUUCUUACCUUCACAGGAGUUGUGUAAAAUGAAUCUAUGGCUGUUACAUGUGAUUGAGGCAAGUGCAUGGUUUUCUACUUCCCUUUUAUUCCAAAAAUGAGAGGAUUUUGUUUCAGUCACUUACUUCAAAAAACUUUUUACAUAUGUAGUACUAAUCAAAAAGGCAACCCUGGGGAAUUUCUGACUGAAAGGUAAAAUUCAGUGUAACUCAAACCAAAGGUUUAUAACAAAAGCUGUUUAAUAAAUUUAAUUCUGUUUGUUGUGGUCAUUGCAGGUUCAGCAAUAAUACAGUCCUUGUAUAGUAUUACACCACGUUCCUGGUGAACUCAGAGGAGAAAUUACAGAUAUAAAAUUAUAGAUGUCUGCAUAUCUCACUUAGAAUGACCACAAAGGUAUUCCUCAGAAUAUGGUUGGAAACUAAAUGAGGAUGAGCACAGAAGAGUGGAUCAAAACAUCUGAGAAAGAGGAAAAACAGAACUGAUAAAGUCUCAUGAGGAUGGAAAACCAGGAGACUUCCACCUCAUUGAGGCACUUCCUCUGACUUCCAUGAGCAAGAGUGAAAUGGGUGUCUUUGUGUUUCAGCUGUCCUGCCUGUAAAAGUUAUUGGACUAGUAAAAUGAUGUUAUCUCCAUCUCCUCUCUAUGUUCAGGCCUUUAGAUAAAAUACUUGUUUAAAUAUUA